GAUUGAAGAAUCUAGGUUUGAACGUAUAGGUUUGCUAUCGCCUGUAUUGCGAGUAAAUAGCAGAAAAAAAUGUUUGGAGAAACGCAACCCCACAUCGCGCUGCGUUUUGAGGAGGUGUGAGAAUCCCUUACAGUAAACAGUUACAUAACUGCCUCUAUCGCUUCCACAAGAAAGUCCGGGAGUUUGUGAAACAGCUAAAUGUUUGCCAAACAACAAAGCACAGUCGAUGUCUCUCGCUCAUCUCUUUUCUUUCUCUCUUUCUCUGUGAAAUGAAGCGGCCUUUCAGGUGCAGUAGGAAACGUUGGGUUCUAUAAAAGAUCUGACAAAAAACUGUUACUGUGAAAUAUAAAGUCUACUUAUGCCACAUUGGGGGGUUAAAGAACACAACAGGACAUCGCACCACCCUGCG